rnacentral:rRNA from 1 species
CUACGGAGGGUGCGAGCGUUAAUCGGAAUUACUGGGCGUAAAGCGUGCGUAGGCGGUUUGUUAAGUCAGAAGUGAAAGCCCUGGGCUCAACCUGGGAACGGCUUUUGAGACUGGCAGACUCGAGUUGAGUAGAGGGGAGUGGAAUUUCCGGUGUAGCGGUGAAAUGCGUAGAGAUCGGAAGGAACACCAGUGGCGAAGGCGACUCCCUGGACUCAAACUGACGCUGAGGUACGAAAGCGUGGGGAGCAAACAGGAUUAGAAACCCUAGUAGUCC